UACGGAGGGUGCAAGCGUUAAUCGGAAUCACUGGGCGUAAAGCGCACGUAGGCGGCCUGGUAAGUCAGGGGUGAAAUCCCACAGCCCAACUGUGGAACUGCCUUUGAUACUGCCAGGCUUGAGUACCGGAGAGGGUGGCGGAAUUCCAGGUGUAGGAGUGAAAUCCGUAGAUAUCUGGAGGAACACCGGUGGCGAAGGCGGCCACCUGGACGGUAACUGACGCUGAGGUGCGAAAGCGUGGGUAGCAAACAGG
rnacentral:rRNA from 1 species